AUUGAACGCUGGCGGAAUGCUUUACACAUGCAAGUCGAGCGGCAGCACGGGGGCAACCCUGGUGGCGAGCGGCGAACGGGUGAGUAAUACAUCGGAACAUGCCCAGUCGUGGGGGAUAACACUUCGAAAGAAGUGCUAAUACCGCAUACGUCCUGAGGGGGAAAGCGGGGGAUCGCAAGACCUCGCGCGAUUGGAGUGGCCGAUGUCAGAUUAGCUAGUUGGUGGGGUAAAGGCCUACCAAGGCAACGAUCUGUAGCUGGUCUGAGAGGAUGAUCAGCCACACUGGGACUGAGACACGGCCCAGACUCCUACGGGAGGCAGCAGUGGGGAAUUUUGGACAAUGGGGGCAACCCUGAUCCAGCCAUUCCGCGUGAGUGAAGAAGGCCUUCGGGUUGUAAGGCUCUUUCGGCAGGAACGAAACGGUGAGCUCUAACAUAGCUUGCUAAUGACGGUACCUGAAGAAGAAGCACCGGCUAACUACGUG
rnacentral:rRNA from 1 species